ensembl:snRNA U6 U6 spliceosomal RNA
GUGCUCACUUCAGCAGCACAUAUACUAAAAUUGGAAUGAUACAGAGAAGAUUAGCAUGGCCUCUGCACAAUUGUGACAUGCAAAUUCAUGAAGUGUUCCAGAUUUUU